UACGGAGGGGGCGAGCGUUAUUCGGAAUUAUUGGGCGUAAAGGGCGCGUAGGCGGCUGUACAAGUCAAAGGUGAAAUCCCUCGGCUCAACUGAGGAACUGCCUUUGAAACUGUACGGCUUGAGGCCGGGAGGGGGUAGCGGAAUUCCCGGUGUAGCGGUGAAAUGCGUAGAUACUGGGAGGAACACCAGUGGCGAAGGCGGCUACCUGGACCGGUGCUGACGCUGAGGCGCGAAAGCGUGGGUAGCAAACAGG
rnacentral:rRNA from 1 species